UGUACUUACCUAACUAUUAGGUAAGACAUAUGUCUAUAUAAAAAAGUGGUUGUAAUAGUUUCAGCUCUCUUUCCAUAUAAAGUGAGCUUCGGUAUUAUUUGUAACAAAACUUACCAAGAAAUAACAUUCGAGCUUCUUUAUCCUAUGGCUUUCUAAAUUUCUCUUCCUCUCUUGAAAAUAACAAAUUCUAUCUUAUUCAUGUAAUUCUCUAUGAAGGCAUGAGUAUGCUCUAUAUUUGCCACUCUUAGUGGAUUCUGUGUGUUAGAAAGUGUUAGUUCAUUGAUCCAUUACCAUGGUUCUCCGGUGCUCAAGUGGAAGAAUCUAUUCUUCUCAUUUUAAGCCUUUAUAAUAUAUAUAGAAGAUCUGGUUCCCUUACUAGAAAUAUCCGCUCUCUUAUCUUUUCAAGAAGAUAUGUUACCAAAGAAUAUGUACAAAUUUCUUGCCUUGACUAUUUUGCUCUCAGAUCCACUACUGCUGAAUAAUAUGUCAUUCUGGAGAUUUCUUCUCUGUCCCUCAGUGAAAAAGACAAGGUUACUAGUAUCUUCAAUACCCACCUUCUCUGAUGACCAUCCAAAUACCACAAUCUGAGACAUAAGAAUCUUCUGAAUCAUCAAAGGAAGAAUAUUCUGAUUUUGACCUUGAAGCAAACCUAACAGACAUUACCAAUCUUCUCAUGGUUAUUUCCACUGGGUCUAAUACAAAUGAAAUCCUUGAAGAAACUAUGGAGGAAGAAAUACAUCCUGGCCAAACUUCACGGGCAGGAUCUUAUACUCGUCCAACUAGUGGACUCUGGUUCACACUUGAUAAUGUUCCUCUAUCAAAAUGAAGAGAAAGGAUGCUUGAAUUUGGAGCCUGAAUUGAUCUACAGAUGACCAAGCCUGAUGCCCAUUUAUUGACUAUUAUUUGAGAAUUUAUUGCUAGAAUGACUGGAUCACUUUAAGAUUGGUUCUUUUUCUUAGGACAUUACAGGCAGCUUCAAUUUUUCAAAGGUCAAAUACUCGAAUUUUCCUAAGAACUAUCCAUUCAAAGUUUCUUAGUAACAUAAACCUGGCAGAACAACAAAAGAGGCAAGACUAUUUUGAAAUGGAGUGUUGUUCCUGAAAAAGAAAAAAUCUUAAGUUCCACUAUUAGCACAUGUCCCAGCUCUUUUAUAGACUUGGUGGAUUGGAUGAUGUUAAUCUCAAAAGUACAUAUAUUACCUCUCUUCCUGAGCAGAUACAGUUUGAUUUGUAUGGAAUAAUUCAAGCAAUUGGCAGGGAUCUAACACGAAUCUCUAUUGGAUAAAUUCACCAGAUGACCCUAUCCACUCUUGAAAAACUACGUGAGCACAAAAAGUUGGUUUUAAAAAUAAGAGUCUUCCUGAACCACAUCUUUUAAGAUUAAAAAAUUAGUUUUUCAAAUAUGAGUUUACUAUCUAACAUAUAAAAAGAGACCUCAACUUGAUUCCUGAUUUCCUUAACAUACUACCUUGUAUCCAACUUCUUAGUUUUCUUUACUAAAUUCUUCUCAUCUUUAAGGCCAGCUCUUUCAAGCCCUCUGACUCUAAAACUCCUUCAUUUUUAAUUUCUGCACUAAAAAGUUUUCUACUAGAAUGCAAUGCAUCAAUGACACUCAGCCACAUCACUGAAUUUGCAAAGAACCAUCUCUUUCAUUUUCAAAACCUUACCAAUGUUCUCAAACAAAAGUAAGAAGCACACUCUAUGUUCUAUCUAGAUGCUCAAUUUCUUACUACCUUUUGUCUAGACCUCCAAGAAGAUUUGCUCUAUGAGAAAAGUUGAUUUUUACGGUGCAUGAUCACUCUGUAUGCCAUCGCCUUUGAAGUUCUUACUUUAAGGCUCUACGAUUUCCUCGGAAACAUAAAAAAUCAACAGAGCCUAAUAUAAUGCUUCCUUGAAUGGUUUGCCCCUACUUCAAUGUGGCGUAAAAACUUAAUAACAGCCAGUGAAAACCAUAAUUUUUGCCUCAAGCCUUCAUUAAAAGCCAAAGUAGCCUGCUCUCUGUUCAUUCUACAUAGGCCCUUUUUCAUAAAUUCGGAGGGACUAUUAUGGACUCAAAAUCAAUCUAUGAAUGGAAGACCUAAUCUAAAACUGACAAGACAAGAUAAAGCCUUGCAUUGCAAAAAGAAAUUAUUACUAAUUUCUGUGAAAUUAACAACUACAAGCCCAAGGCUCAGACAGUGAGUUCUACCUCAAUCGGUUCAAAGGCCUAACCAGAAAAAGUUUCAAAUCUUC
rnacentral:misc_RNA from 1 species